rnacentral:rRNA from 1 species
AUUGAACGCUGGCGGCAUGCCUAACACAUGCAAGUCGAACGGAAACGAUGGGAGCUUGCUCCCAGGCGUCGAGUGGCGGACGGGUGAGUAAUGCUUAGGAAUCUACCCAGUAGUGGGGGACAACCAGGAGAAAUUCUGGCUAAUACCGCAUACGCACUACGGUGGAAAGUGGGGGACCUUCGGGCCUCACGCUAUUGGAUGAGCCUAAGUCGGAUUAGCUUGUUGGUAGGGUAACGGCCUACCAAGGCGACGAUCCGUAGCUGGUCUGAGAGGACGAUCAGCCACACUGGGACUGAGACACGGCCCAGACUCCUACGGGAGGCAGCAGUGGGGAAUAUUGGACAAUGGGCGCAAGCCUGAUCCAGCAAUGCCGCGUGUGUGAAGAAGGCCUGCGGGUUGUAAAGCACUUUCAGUAGAGAAGAAAAGCCUAGGGUUAAUAACCCUGAGUCUUGACGUAACCUACAGAAGAAGCACCGGCUAACUCCGUG